rnacentral:rRNA from 1 species
GACCUCAGAUCAGGCAAGACUACCCGCUGAAUUUAAGCAUAUCAAUAAGCGGAGGAAAAGAAACUAACAAGGAUUCCCCCAGUAACGGCGAGUGAAGCGGGAAGAGCUCAAAUUUGAAAUCUCCGAAGGGCGAAUUCGUUUA